rnacentral:ncRNA from 2 species
GGACGAACCCUUGGAGAGAGCCGUUCGCAUUUUAUGCGUGGACGCCGAAGGCGAAAAAGUGGUGACACUUGAAACGCUCAGGCAAAAGGACAGGGGCAAGAGA